rnacentral:rRNA from 1 species
GGAGGGGUGGGGUGGAGUGGGGUGGGGUGCGUGCGUGGGGUUCUUUUGGUGGGGCGUCCUCCUUGCGGGAAGGAGAGCUAGGGGAGGGCAGCGGCGGCGGCAGGAGAGAGGCUAGGGAUCGGGGCGUGGAAGAGGGUAGGUAGGGGAGCGGAGAGAAAGGGGGCUAGAUCUACCGUGGAGGGUGGUACCGCCCCUUCGCCGAAGCUCGCGGCGGACUAGAGGAGCUGGGUCCCGGAGUGCGAGUGGUCGCGGGCGGGUUAGCGCGCGCUGGAGAGGUGACGUCGCGCGGGGGCGGGACAGCGGCUACAGAACUACACGUCGGGUGCGGUACCCAGAGGCGGCUGCGGUGCUACCAGCACCGGAGGAGUGGGCGGCUGCGGAGGCGAGGUCUAGGCUCGGCGGCCACUCGGCAGUUCCAGCCCCGUACCAUGAUAGGUAGAAGGGCGCACAUCCCGUCGGCCACGGGCGCAGGCGCAUAGGGCCGGUACCCACAACAUAAGUAGAGGAUGUACCCCGCUGCUCCUUCUACUCGGGUCGCCGUGCACACAGAAGGUCGGCGAGAACACUCUAGCCCUCCGUUAGUUUUCGUCCUUCCCCUCUAGCUACGAACCCCCACUGUAGGUUACUGGGUCCGUAGUGGGAGAGGACUGCAGAAUGAUGUUUGGGCGUCGGUGACGGAGGAGCUAGAUGCGAUCGGACGUCGUCGUUCCAGUCGGGGGGUGUGAGCCGUAAAAAAAGAAAUCCAGAACCGCGCCCUUUGACUUUUUCUCUACGAGGUUGUUAGUGGUGUAGGGGGUAUGUCUAAGGACGUUUAUUCGCAAUUUAUUUUCAUAUAGCUCAAACUACUGCUACUACUAACUUUUCUUCUCCUACUUCGUGAUCAGCCUCCCAUAGGCUCACAUGUACUACGGGGACCCACCCACAGCCGCACUCGACCAUACCGGGGCAGCACCGAUACAUCUACCCCUCCGCCCCACCUCCGACCCUGACGUACCCCUUUUUCGUAUUUCUCGUUCUGCCAUCACGACAUGACACCGUACCAGUACACACAUCGGAGUCGUGUCGCAACAUGACACCGUACCGACACACACACUGCAGCCACGUCGCCGUUUCUCAUCAGAAACCUCAUCCCGUCGCCGUGUGUGUGUGUACUCCCACCGGGAGCUCCGAACCCCCAAUUCGUCCACGCGCUACCUAGGGCACCUUCACCUCUCUCUUCGUAGUACAAGUACUUGAACUUUUUACUAAAGCUCAAACUUGUUUCUUUCAAAUGGUUUCUUCUGUAGUUUCUUUAAUAUAAAUCCCUCUAUGACCUUAUGGAGGGAGUUGAAGAGUUCCUAAUGUACGUGCCUAGACUUUUAUGAAUGAUACAGGAUACAAAGAUGGAACUGUAUAGAACAUUGAAAAAACGGAGGAUAAAACGUAUACAUCGUUAUCAGUAUUGAAUACAGCCGAUUAGUUAUAAACGGUGAUGACUGUUAAACGUAUCCGUUAGACGAUUCUCCUUCUACCACCUUUCUCGCCCGCUCAGCUCUCUUUUGUAAAAGAAGAGGGUUCCACAGCUUGAUGUGAUGGUCGUCGUCUCCGACGUGGAACAGAAAUCGUUUCUGCCUUUCGGACGAUUAAUUACUAUGUCCCUCUACUUGCUACACCUAUACUUCUUCAUCACCCAACACGAAAAGUCGUCAUUUACGUAAAUCUCUAAUCUACCGAACGAGGUUUCUGUUCGUUGAUUAGAGCAACUACCCUAACGACGCGUCUAAGUAUCUAGCACGAGAAGGCACCAUUCCUCGGACACCGAGAGAGUUCAGAGUUGACUUGUCUUCUAGAACCAAUCGAUCAACCAGUCUCCUUCUUUCGUCUUGCGUACUUACUUUCACCUCUCCUGUUUCUUUCUACACACCUAUGAGUAUCGACUUCAUUUAUUCAUAAUACCCCUAAGAGUAUCAACCUCUUAUAUUCAUAAUACGCCUAAGAGUACCAACCUCAAUUAUUGCCUGUGUGACCGCAUAAUCAACAAACGGUUGUUACCUGUAGUAUAAAAAUAAAGCACCAUUACGUGCUGUAAGUUAACAUAUACAAUG